CCGGCAAAAGCAGCCUAAACUUUUGUCCUUUCUCUCGCUCUUGCAUCCGACCAUGACCGUUUUAAUUUCUAGCGUUUUCGGGCUGGAAAGACAACGUUUGCAUUUCAUCUGCAGAAUGAGGAGAGAGGAAGAGUUCUAGGUUUGUUUUCCGUCCCUUGGUGGCUUGGUCUAUCUGUAUAGGGAGGAGUGGUUUGUGUGUUGGAUUUGCACAGGGAGAGGGAGAGGGAGGGAGAGAGAGAGAGAGGUGUGGGCUGCUCUUCUCCAUGUAAUUGUGAAGAGUGGGCCGAGUUUUCAUUCCUUUGGAUUUGUUAUGUGCAUUAGUGCAACUGGUCCAACGGCAUUCAAAUCUGUUCUUGAGGGCAAUGAGGAGAAAUUGAGAUGCGGCCGGUUAAAGUACUGGAGAUCCAACCACUGAAGAAAAACUUAUCGAUCAAGGAUUGGGUGUGUUAUGGAGAUUAAAAUAAAUAAAGAUAAAGCAGGCUAUAUAUUUUGCGGAACAACAU